GUUUUCCUUGUGCACCUUCUCUCGCAACGGUUACGCAAUCAUUUAGAAGUCGCCCAAUUAUGCUGACAUGCAUGAAGAGAUUAUUGUACUCCUGGGUUUCCACAGCUUGCUCAGGGAGCUUAGAUCCCAUUAAAUAAAGUGAUAUGAGAAUAACAGGUCCUAAGGCAAAUGAUACAUAUCCAUUUGUAAUGUACUCAUACAUUGUCGGCACUAGUUUGUUUUUGGCCCAUUCAGCUUCCUUUAACAUGGUAUCCAGCAGAGUGAUCCAAAUAUCAAUCAAGUGCUUUUUGACGCAUCGGCCUUGUUGUUUGCUAGCCUUGUCAGCAAGGUCAUUAGUUGUGCCAUAAAUUGCAUAAAAGAGUAUCUCCACAUCUUUGGACUUGAAUCCAAUUGUUGAGUGUUCAUCCCAUCUCUGAAUCAAUUCGAUUAGAUUUAGAAGUUCCUCCAUUGAACCAGCAAAGUCGAAGAAAUCAUCAACAACUGUUGUUAGAACAGUGUUUUGAGCCCAUGAGAUGCGAGCAUCAGAAAGAUCAGGGUGGGAAAGGACUGCAGCAAUGGAAAAAUGGGCAUAUGCGAUCUUCUGCCUUGCAAACUUCAAUUUAUCCAAAUUAUAUUCUUUGACCCAUCUCUCCAAAUAGUCCAGUUCUUCGCGGUGUAUGGCCUGACACUUAUUGAAGUCUUGGAAUGAAAGUGUCAAGAGAUCUCUGUUAUCAAUAUUGAAAUACCUAUAAGAUGUUUUAAGAAGUGAAAUGUUGUCUACAUUGUAAUUCUCAAUGUAACGACGACUUUCAGUUCUCUCCAAACUGGCGUAUGGAUGCUUCAGAGCAUAAUCCACCUCAUUAUGUAAACUCUUGUCUUGAAUCGCCCCAGUACUCACUAACUCAUUUUCAAGGUAAGUUCUUGUCCAAUCAUAUAUUCUUUCAAGAACAGGUUCAUUUGGAAAUAUUAUCAUCUGUGAAGCCUUGUAUAACUCCAAAGCAAAAUUUACAUCACUCAUUGAAUUUAAAAUAUUUUCUUGUCUGUCAAAAUUUGCCAAUGCAUCUGAAGAGAUUUCGUAGCCAUUCAUCCGUAGAAGUCGAAAUCCCAAGGCACAACAUGCAGGGUCUAAAAAUAUUUCUUCACUGCCUUGCAUCCAAGAUCUGUAUAUAUCAUCUAGUGUGGUUGCUAUUACUUCUGUGAAAUGUCUAUCUAUUCCCAGCUUUAUCAAAUUGUCAAUCAUAUGGAGACGGGGAUAGAUAUCCAGGGGAUAAAUGGUAGGAACUGCGUUGUCGAAUUUUUCCACUAGUGAGGAUAGGUACUCUAAACAUUUUUCAUCAUGAAGAUGAGUUAAAGCAGCUGCAGUUGCAGAUGGUGAAUUGAAGAGUGAGCCGUUGCUUCUUUGAUAUUUCAUUAGCUCUUGCCAAUCAUUUAAUCGGGUCAGUCCCUCUGCAACGUAUGCAAGACGGUUUGUCUCUCCCAGGAAACUUUUAAUUUCCAAAUCUCUCUUGAGAAGCAUCCCCUCUAUUGCAGAGUUGUUGAAAGAAAGAUUCAAGCCCGUUUCUCUGGCAUGCUCAAUCAUGCCUGGAAAUAUUAUAUCAAAUCCACGCGGAGAACGUUGAUGCUUGUCAGUGGCNNNNNNNNNNGCGAUGAAGUCCAGACCUUUAUGUACAAGUUGGUCUGCAACAUUCCAUUUGUGUAGAGCUAGUAGACAGGCCAACGUGGAAGAGAUUGAGUCUUUAAUUAGGAGGGGAUGGGCAGGGUCGAGAGCCCAUGAACCAUCAGGCUGUUGAUUCUCCAUUAUCCAGUUCAAGCAUUCUGGGAAAAGAGGCUGCUUGAAACUAUUCUGAGAGGGUACCAUCGCAACCCAUGCAGUGUCAUAUGAAGAAACUGGCAGCUCAACCUUAUCUUUCUUCAACAUUUCUUUGAUUUUUCUAAGUGAAUCUUUUGUAUUCUG
rnacentral:misc_RNA from 1 species